rnacentral:rRNA from 1 species
ACGGGUGAGUAACACGUGGGCAAUCUGCCCUUCACUCUGGGACAAGCCCUGGAAACGGGGUCUAAUACCGGAUAAUACUCUGUCCUGCAUGGGACGGGGUUGAAAGCUCCGGCGGUGAAGGAUGAGCCCGCGGCCUAUCAGCUUGUUGGUGGGGUAAUGGCCUACCAAGGCGACGACGGGUAGCCGGCCUGAGAGGGCGACCGGCCACACUGGGACUGAGACACGGCCCAGACUCCUACGGGAGGCAGCAGUGGGGAAUAUUGCACAAUGGGCGAAAGCCUGAUGCAGCGACGCCGCGUGAGGGAUGACGGCCUUCGGGUUGUAAACCUCUUUCAGCAGGGAAGAAGCGCAAGUGACGGUACCUGCAGAAGAAGCGCCGGCUAACUACGUGCCAGCAGCCGCGGUAAUACGUAGGGCGCAAGCGUUGUCCGGAAUUAUUGGGCGUAAAGAGCUCGUAGGCGGCUUGUCACGUCGGAUGUGAAAGCCCGGGGCUUAACCCCGGGUCUGCAUUCGAUACGGGCUAGCUAGAGUGUGGUAGGGGAGAUCGGAAUUCCUGGUGUAGCGGUGAAAUGCGCAGAUAUCAGGAGGAACACCGGUGGCGAAGGCGGAUCUCUGGGCCAUUACUGACGCUGAGGAGCGAAAGCGUGGGGAGCGAACAGGAUUAGAUACCCUGGUAGUCCACGCCGUAAA